CAGAGCCUUCCACGCAGGGUGAGGCCAGGGAUCGCGGGAAGGGAGUUGCUUCGAGCUAGCUUCCUUCGAGGACGAGUUGCUAGGUGGUCUACCUCUCGAUAUUUACUUUUUGGCGAGAGGUUGAGGGUUUUACCAGUGUACUAGAGACCACCAUUUUUGUACUAGAGACAGAUAUUGUACUACUUAUGGUUUCUUUUAUUGUCUAGCUUUAUUUCUUUACUUUGGUGUAGAUGAUAGAACUUUACUCGCUCUGAU
rnacentral:lncRNA from 1 species